AUUUUUCGAAAGUUUGAUUUUGAAGGAAGUUAUGACAGUUUUAAAUUGCUGGCCUAGAAAACUCAAGAGUUCCGCCACCAACUUAAAAUGCUUCAAACUAGUUUAAGAUUUAUUUUUCCUAUGGUUUGAGAAAAUUUAUGAUUGCUGC
ensembl:ncRNA C45G7.10 ncRNA